rnacentral:SRP_RNA from 2 species
GCCAGGCGUGGUGGCAUGCGCCUGUAAUCCUAGCUACUUGGGAGGCUGAGACAUGAGAAUUGCUUGAACCCGGGACACAGAGGUUGCAGUGAGCUGAGAUCAUGCCACUGCACUCCAGCCUGGGUGACAGAGCAAGACCCUGUCUCAA